CUGGAAGUGAUGAUGUGUGACUUCCAGCCUGAUGCUAGUGAUGGGUGUUGUAUUCAUACUGUCUGAUCCAC
rnacentral:snoRNA from 1 species